rnacentral:rRNA from 1 species
AGUGAACGCUGGCGGCAUGCCUAACACAUGCAAGUCGAACGGCAGCACAGUAAGAGCGUGCCUCUACGGGUGGCGAGGGGCGGACGGGUGAGGAAUACAUCGGCAUCUACUUUUUCGGGGGGGAUAACGUAGGAAAAGUGACGCUAAUACCGAAUACAUCCAACGGGUUAAAUCAGUGGAGCAUCGGACCUUGCCCGACUCAUAUAGCCGGAGCCGGGUUAGCUAGUUGGCGGGGUAAGGUCCCACCAAGGCAACGAUACGUAGCUGGUCUGAGAGGAUGAUCAGCCACACUGGAACUGAGACACGGUCCAGACUCCUACGGGAGGCAGCAGUGGGGAAUAUUGGGCAAUGGGCGCAAGCCUGAUCCAGCCAUACCGCGUGGGUGAAGAAGGCCUUCGGGUUGUAAAGCCCUUUUAUUGGGGAAGAAAAGCAGCAGGUUAAUCCCCCGCUGUUCUGACGGUACCCAAAGAAUAAGCCCCGGCUAACUUCGUG